rnacentral:tRNA from 1 species
GGUGGCUCAGUGGUAGAGUGCUUGCCUUGCAAGCACGAGGUCCUGGGUUCAAUUCCUCAGUACCA